GCCAAUCAAACUCGGAGAUAGCUGGUUCUCCCCGAAAGCUAUUUAGGUAGCGCCUCGGACGAAUACUACUGGGGGUAGAGCACUGUUUGGGCUAGGGGGUCAUCCCGACUUACCAACCCCAUGCAAACUCCGAAUACCAGUAAGUACUAUCCGGGAGACACACGGCGGGUGCUAACGUCCGUCGUGAAGAGGGAAACAACCCAGACCGCCGGCUAAGGUCCCAAAGUUCUGGUUAAGUGGGAAACGAUGUGGGAAGGCUCAGACAGCUAGGAUGUUGGCUUAGAAGCAGCCAUCAUUUAAAGAAAGCGUAAUAGCUCACUAGUCGAGUCGGCCUGCGCGGAAGAUGUAACGGGGCUCAAACCAGGCACCGAAGCCGCGGAUUCACGCUAAGCGUGAGUGGUAGGGGAGCGUUCUGUAAGUCUGCGAAGGUGUGUCGAGAGGCAUGCUGGAGAUAUCAGAAGUGCGAAUGCUGACGUAAGUAACGAUAAAGGGGGUGAAAAGCCUCCUCGCCGGAAGACCAAGGGUUCCUGUCCAACGU
rnacentral:rRNA from 1 species